rnacentral:rRNA from 1 species
GAUGAACGCUGGCGGCGUGCCUAAUACAUGCAAGUCGAGCGAAAAGACGAGGAGCUUGCUCCUCUGACGUUAGCGGAGGACGGGUGAGUAACACGUGGAUCCCCUCCCUAUAAGACUGGGAUAAUUUGGGAAAAGCGGAGCUAAUACCGGAUAAUCUCUUGAACCACAUGGUUGGAUAGUGAAAGACGGCGUUGGGGUAACUUAUAGCUGGAUACGCGCCGUAUGAGCUGGUCGGUACGUUAACGGCCUUUCACGGCAACGAUGCGUAGGCGACCUGAUAGGGGGAUCGGCCACCCUGGAACUGGGACACGGUCCAUAGGCCUACGGGAGGCAGCAGUAUGGAAUCGUACGCAAUGGUCGAAAGCCUGACGGAGCAACGCCGCGUGUGUGACGAAGGUCCUCGGAUCGUAAAGCUCUGUUUUUAGGGAAGAACAAAUUUGUAAGUAACUAUGCACUUCUUGACGGUACCUAAUCAGAAAGCCACGGCUAACUACGUG